rnacentral:rRNA from 1 species
UACAGAGGGUGCGAGCGUUGUCCGGAAUCACUGGGCGUAAAGGGCGCGUAGGCGGCCUGAUAAGUAGGGGGGUGAAAAUCCUGUGGCUUAACUGCAGGGCUGCCUCCUAGACUGUUAGGCUCGAGCACGGUAGAGGCAGAUGGAAUUCCCGGUGUAGCGGUGGAAUGCGUAGAGAUCGGGAAGAACAUCGGUGGCGAAGGCGGUCUGCUGGGCCGUUGCUGACGCUGAGGCGCGACAGCGUGGGGAGCAAACAGG